rnacentral:rRNA from 1 species
UACAGAGGGGGCCAGCGUUAUUCGGAAUUAUUGGGCGGAAAGGGCGCGUAGGCGGCCAUGCGUGGCUUCCGUGAAAUCCCUCGGCUUAACCGAGGACGUGCGGAAGAAACUGCAAGGCUCGAGUCCGGAAGAGGGGGGCGGAAUUCCCAGUGUAGCGGUGAAAUGCGUAGAUAUUGGGAGGAACCCCAGUGGCGAAGGCGGUCCCCUGGGCCGGAACUGACGCUGAGGCGCGACAGCGUGGGGAGCAAACAGG